rnacentral:misc_RNA from 1 species
GAUGAAGAACGUAGCGAAAUGCGAUACUUGGUGUGAAUUGCAGAAUCCCGCGAAUCAUCGAGUUUUUGAACGCAAGUUGCGCCCGAAGCCAUUCGGCCGAGGGCACGUCUGCCUGGGUGUCACGCAUCGUUGCCCCCCCAAACUCCGGUUCGGGCGGGGCGGAAGUUGGCCUCCCGUGCGUGCCUGCGCGCGCGGUUAGCCCAAAAGCGAGUCCUCGGCGAUGAGCGCCACGACAAUCGGUGGUUUUUUUGCCCUCGUUCCUCGUCGUGCGUGCCCCGUCGCCCGAACGCGCUCUUGCAACCCUUACGCGUCGCCUCGGUGGCGCUCCCAACGCGACCCCAGGUCAGGCGGGACUACCCGCUGAGUUUAAGCAUAUCAAUAAGCGGAGGA